AACUUACCAGGUCAAGACAUGGGCGUGAUUGACAGGCUAAUGACUUUUCUCGAUUCCAUGGAUGGUGGUGCAUGGUCGCACUUAGUUGGUGCAGUGAUUUGUCAGGUUUAUUCCGGUAACGAACGAGACCUCGGCCUUGUAAAUAGCUAUGCUGCUUACAGGGACAUUGGCGGCUACGCCAAGGAAGCUCGAGGCAAUUGCAGAUCUGGAAUGCCCUUAGAUGUCCUGGGUCGCACGCGUGCUACAAUGACGCCACGAACGAGCUUGCGUGAUGAAAGUUACGCAUAAUCAGCAGUCGGCGUCUUAAGGGAUAGUCUCUUGUAACUGUGGGACUCCAACUAGGAAUGUCUCGUAAGCACAAGUCAACAUCUUGUGUUGAUUACGUCCCUGCUCUUUGUACACACCGCCCGUCGCUCCUACCGAUCGAGUGUUUAGGUGAAUUUGAUGGACGUAAGGAAGUCAAAUAAACCUGAGCACUAGAGAAGGAGAAGUCGAUCAUC
rnacentral:rRNA from 1 species